CACUCUAAGCGAGUGGAUCACUCGGCUCAUGGGUCGAUGAAGAACGCAGCAAACU
rnacentral:rRNA from 1 species